rnacentral:rRNA from 1 species
AUGGAGUACAGUCAGUCAAUGUGGUGGCGGACAUCUCCGAGGUGUGGAUCGGCGGCUGGAACAACAGCGACCGGCUCCAUCUACGAGCCCGGCCUAGAAGACGUCAUUAAGCUGUGCCGCGGCCACAACCUAUUCUUCAACACCGACGUUGGCGAGGUGGAUAUCGUCUUCUUCUUCGUCAACACUGACACCGAGACCCUCGGCCUCGGCGCCGACAAGGCCGCGCAUCUCCUCCGUGGACGCCAUCUCUGCAACGUCAUCGAGGUGGCCUACUCCAUUGGCAAGGACUCGCACAUCGGCCCGCGCUUGCUCUCUGCUAGCGUCGGCUUACGGGGCUCGUGCUUCCCGCCGGCCAUCGACGUGUGCCGGGGUCUGCUCGAAAACGAGGCCGUAGUCAGCAUCUACGACUCGCAGGUGACCAAGGAGCAGGUGCGGCGCGACCUCGCCAUGGACAAGUUUGACUGGAACCACCCACGCCACCUGCAGCCGAAGCCGGCUUAUGUCUUCGACGGCCGCAACAUCGUUGACCUGGAGAAGCUCCAAGACGUCGGAUUCAUCUUCUACGGCAUUGGCAAGCUGCUUGACCAGUGA